AGGCAGUCUAAAUAGGCAAAUCCGUUUGGACAAUGCUAGGAUGUGAUGGGGAAGCCCUCCGGGGCGAAGUAGCUGAUUUCACACUGUCAAGAAAAGCUUCUAUCGAGUUUAAAGGCGCCCGUACCGUAAACCGACACAGGUGGGUGAGGAGAGUAUCCUAAGGCCAGCGAGAGAACUAUUGUUAAGGAACUCGGCAAAAUGACCCCGUAACUUAGGGAGAAGGGGUGCCUGUCUAUGACAGGCCGCAGAGAAUAGGCCCAAGCGACUGUUUACCAAAAACACAGGUUUCUGCUAAGUCGCAAGACGAUGUAUAGGAGCUGACGCCUGCCCGGUGCUGGAAGGUUAAGGGGAUCUGUUAGAGCAAUCGAAGCAGUGAACUUAAGCCCCAGUAAACGGCGGCCGUAACUAUAACGGUCCUAAGGUAGCGAAAUUCCUUGUCGGGUAAGUUCCGACCCGCACGAAAGGCGUAACGAUUUGGGCACUGUCUCAACAAUAGACUCGGUGAAAUUGUAAUCCCGGUGAAGAUGCCGGGUACCUGCGACAGGACGGAAAGACCCCAUGGAGCUUUACUGUAGCUUGACGUUGGGUCUUGGUACUACAUGUACAGGAUAGGUGGGAGACUAUGAAGCAUGGACGCCAGUCUGUGUGGAGUCAUCCUUGGGAUACCACCCUUGUAGUACUGGGAUCCUAACCAUAGGCCUUGAAUCAGGUCUUGGAACACCGUCAGGUGGGCAGUUUGACUGGGGCGGUCGCCUCCUAAAAAGUAACGGAGGCGCUCAAAGGUUUCCUCAGCACGGUCGGAAAUCGUGCGAAGAGUGUAAAGGCAAAAGGAAGCUUGAUUGCAAGACAUACAGGUCGAGCAAGGACGAAAGUCGGACUUAGUGAUCCGGUGGUACCGCAUGGAAGGGCCAUCGCUCAACGGAUAAAAGCUACCCUGGGGAUAACAGGCUUAUCUCCCCCAAGAGUCCACAUCGACGGGGAGGUUUGGCACCUCGAUGUCGGCUCAUCACAUCCUGGGGCUGUAGUAGGUCCCAAGGGUUGGGCUGUUCGCCCAUUAAAGUGGUACGCGAGCUGGGUUCAGAACGUCGUGAGACAGUUCGGUCCCUAUCCGUCGCAGGCGUAGGAAAUUUGAGAAGACCUGUCCUUAGUACGAGAGGACCGGGAUGGACGUACCUCUGGUGUACCAGUUGUUCUGCCAAGGGCAUGGCUGGGUAGCUAUGUACGGAAUGGAUAAGCGCUGAAAGCAUCUAAGCGCGAAGCCAACUUCAAGAUAAGAUUUCCCACCGUAAGGGUAAGACCCCAGGAAGACUACCUGGUUGAUAGGUCGAAGGUGUAAGUGCAGUAAUGUAUUUAGCUUAUCGAUACUAAUAGGUCGAGGACUUGACC
rnacentral:rRNA from 1 species